UACGAAGGGGGCUAGCGUUGCUCGGAAUCACUGGGCGUAAAGCGCACGUAGGCGGACUCUUAAGUCAGGGGUGAAAUCCUGGAGCUCAACUCCAGAACUGCCCUUGAUACUGGGAGCCUUGAGUUCGGGAGAGGUGAGUGGAACUGCGAGUGUAGAGGUAAAAUUCGUAGAUAUUCGCAAGAACACCAGUGGCGAAGGCGGCUCACUGGCCCGAUACUGACGCUGAGGUGCGAAAGCGUGGGGAGCAAACAGG
rnacentral:rRNA from 1 species